AUUGAACGCUGGCGGCAGGCCUAACACAUGCAAGUCGAGCGGUAGAGAGGUGCUUGCAUCUCUUGAGAGCGGCGGACGGGUGAGUAAUGCCUAGGAAUCUGCCUAGUGGUGGGGAAUAACGUUCGGAAACGGACGCUAAUACCGCAUACGUCCUACGGGAGAAAGCGGGGGGAUCUUCGGACCUCGCGCCAUUAGAUGAGCCUAGGUCGGAUUAGCUAGUUGGUGAGGUAAUGGCUCACCAAGGCGACGAUCCGUAACUGGUCUGAGAGGAUGAUCAGUCACACUGGAACUGAGACACGGUCCAGACUCCUACGGGAGGCAGCAGUGGGGAAUAUUGGACAAUGGGCGAAAGCCUGAUCCAGCCAUGCCGCGUGUGUGAAGAAGGUCUUCGGAUUGUAAAGCACUUUAAGUUGGGAGGAGGGUAGUAACCUAAUACGUUGCUACUUUGACGUUACCGACAGAAUAAGCACCGGCUAACUUCGUGCCAGCA
rnacentral:rRNA from 1 species